GGGGCGUUUUUUAGAAAGGAGCGUCAAAUACCAACUUGUAAGCAUAGGCGAGGGCGUUCAUUAGAUAGAAGACAUUCUUUAGAUAGGGGGCGUUUAUUAGAUCAUUUACGGUACACUGGGUAUAUACAUGAAAUACUGUAUUACUCGUUGCUUGCAUUUUCUGCCCCCACCCCUGCUAAACCGAACAUCUUUAUGGAAUUCACAAAGCACACUGAUGAAAAUACGUCACUGUAGAUCGAGACUCACCAUGAUCCAGAUGACAAUUCCAGAUAUUCCUGCCAACAGAAAGGUCAUAGCCACCCGGUCGAACCACAGUAUGGAAUCGAGGCUUCUCCCAGUACUGCCCUCUAUUUCUUCUUCAAACGGAGAAUGCUUGUCUCCGUCUUGCAUCUACCCAAGCACUUGCUCAAUAGCUUGAUCAGCCAAUCGUGCAUAAUACCACAGAGCUCUGGGUUGGCUACGUAGUCCGCUGUGUUUGCUGCUCCUGUUUUCGAGUAAAGAUAAGGAGCUUGAAGCGUUGCGAUUAUUCUUAUAGGGGCUGUCCUACACUUCAGCGGGACGGUUGAGUUCGCCGAAAUCCCUUGUUGAAAACCGAGAACGGCGGCUAAGAGAAAGCAUGUAGCUAGUUUGAAAAAUCGCUCCAUUUUUUUUUAUAUUUGUUUGCUUUAGUUUACAUUGCUACGCGCGGUGUGUAUAAUACCUAACACUUGACUGUAGCUUGACACUAUAACUGUGUUAAUAUCAUGCAGGUCGACUUGCAGGUGGUGUUUUUUAGUUACCAGCUAAUAAAUAAACUAUUGAAAUUUCUUCUGUUAUUUCACAACAGAAAUAGCAACUAGUUCAACAGUCAAUUUAACGAAAUAUCAUAGCAGGGUCAGACUUUACAAAACCGAGCACACAAACAAACAAACAAAUUUAUUAGUAGGUUGACUCGCUUCAUCAAGAAAUAGUUAAUGAAGCUAAUAUAACUGCUUUAAUUUUUAAUAGGCAAGUAAACAAUUAGCCUCAGUGUUUGUGCAUUGCAAAGUACUAAUUACAACCUUGACAUUAUUAUUGAGCAUUAUAAAUAUGUGAGGAAAAAAAACUGAUAAUACAAACGUCAAAUCAAGCAGCAAAAAAAAAACAACAACAACAACAACACAGGGAUAUAUAUAUAUCUCGAAUUCUGAUUUGUGGGUGGGGACGCCCCAAAAAUCUCUGGUUCUGCUUAAAACUAUUUUUACAUUUACUUCAAAUGUUUUGAGUCAAACAUCCUGCCCUUAACAUUAUAAAUUACUUGUGGCGAGAAACGGAGGGGUGUAGGCCGUAGUUUGUUUACCUAGUGGAGCAAAUGAAGACAGGAAUACGUAUUUUUCGAAUUCUUUAUUGGAAGGUGGGGAUGCCCCCACAAUCUCUGGUAUCUUAUUUGAGUGUAUUUGCUUUAGGGACGGUACAUGAAACGGCGUCUAAACAACCCUUGUACAACUCCCAGUUAAAAUAAAAAAAACCCCAUAACA